rnacentral:sRNA from 1 species
UUGCGGAGCUUCGGGUUGAGCGCAGUGA